rnacentral:misc_RNA from 1 species
AAGUCGUAACAAGGUUUCCGUAGGUGAACCUGCGGAAGGAUCAUUAACAAAUAUUAUAAAAAUUAUUGUUAUAAUUCACCCAUUUUUAUGUGAACCUUUGAUAAAACUGUGAAAUUGCUCUGGUAUUUUUUGGUUUUGAACUUGUAGUUCAAUUUGAAUUGCCUACCAGUAGUUUUUUUUAAAAAAUUAUUAAUUUACUAUUUUUAAGUUUAAUUUAUAUCUAUUUUUCUAUUGAAAUUUUUUACAUAUUUUUUAUGUUUAAAAUGACAAGAAAAAAAAUAAAAACAUAAUACAACUUGCAACAAUGGAUCUCUUGGCUCUU